UACGUAGGGGGCGAGCGUUGUCCGGAAUCAUUGGGCGUAAAGAGCGUGUAGGCGGCUUGGCAAGUCUGACGUGAAAGCCCGCGGCUCAACCGCGGAUUGUCGUUGGAAACUGCCUCGCUAGAGUCCGGAAGAGGAGAGCGGAAUUCCUGGUGUAGCGGUGGAAUGCGCAGAUAUCAGGAAGAACACCGUGGCGAAGGCGGCUCCUCUGGGACGGUACUGACGCUGAGACGCGAAAAGCGUGGGGAGCGAACAGG
rnacentral:rRNA from 1 species